rnacentral:sRNA from 1 species
AUGAAAGAAAAGAAACUUUAUGAGACAAGAUUUUGUACUGCUACAAAAUGUACCACAAUAAGGAUACUGGGACAUUUUCAGUGUUGCUGUGUAGGUUUUUAACUUAUGGAAUUAAGGCCCCUUAGAAACAAUGUAUAUUGUACAAAGUUACUUUUGAACAUUAUGGCAUUUUUUUUUAAUUUUAUGCAUUUUUACUUUUAUCUUAACACCUGUAAGUAUUACAUUAGAAAUCUUGUAUGAUAUUGUUACAUCUCCACAUAGUGCUAUAUUCUACACUUAGUGGAAACUUUUUAUUAUGAAGUAAAUCCCCCCGAACUGUGAUAACCUAUUUAUUGUUUUUAUUUUUGUAAUUUAAUGUGAGUUUAUGUACAUUCCUCUAUCAAAAUGUAAAUACAAAACCAUGAGAGAAGUGCUGACUUAGGAGGAUAUAUACUGUUGUUAGAGAUUCAGUCAUUGUUCAUUGUUUAUUAUUACCUCAUUUACUGUACAAAUUGUCCUUGUGUGGUAGAAUGUGAGUGGGUGUUCAACACAAACCAUAUUUAACUUGUCCAUCUGUCUGUUGGUGUGUCUCUCUACAUUGUUAUGCAUGUUUGGUACAAAUGCAAAGUGAUAUCUUACAGUAUUGAAUUUAUUUUGUUGAUUUUUAUUUUGCUUGUGUGACACAUUUUAAUUAUUUUUCUUGUUUCAUAGCAAUCACAACCCGAAUUCUGAAUGUUAUCAUUUGUUACUUUAUAGAUUGUUUUAUUGAAACACCAAAUACUCAGUGAUAUUGAGAGAUCAGUGAAGUCUUGUAUUCCUGAAUAUAAGGUCUUGAUUUUCCUUGGUACUUAUGUACAAGAAUGGCACAAAAGCCAACAAUUCAAACUCGUUAUGAUAUAAAAUCCCAUUGAAUACAAAAUAGAAGAAAACAAUGAUGUAAUAGACAAUGAAUUGAUAAAAUGGGUAUACAUCAAUUCCUUACAAUUUCAUUGUUUGGAGCUGAAUGCCGUCACUGGGAGCAAGAGUGGUUCAGAUGUAUUUCUCUGUACAAGGUUGCACGUUAACCACCGACUAUGUUGUGAGAUUUUUUUUCUCUUAUUUGUGUAGUUAAUUUAGCGAGUUUCUCCUACAGAUCUUGAUGCAUUUAACUGUUGUGUACUGUUCGUUGACUGAUGAAUUUCUACUGCUGAUUUACAUCCAUAGGAGGUACAUGUCUUUGUGAUCACCUUCAGUAUUAUUUAUAUGAUUGUCAGCAGUUGUUACAAGAUAACUUUCAAUCUGGUGUGUUUUUAUUAACGAUUCUGAGACAGGUAUAUGUAGAAGUUUUGUGAUUUCAUGGCUUGAUCUGAUCUAACAAUUUCCAAAUUUCUUUUUUAAAAAUAGGUAUUGUCUACAAAAAUUGUUCAAGUGAGUUUCAAAAAUGGAUAAUAAAGUUUGAUAUUAUCCGUU